rnacentral:misc_RNA from 1 species
ACGUGUCCAGCGGCGGCCGUCUGCCCCGCUCCGGUCCAAUGCGGCCGUUGCAGCGGGGACGGCGGUUUGCCGAAACAUCGCAAACCCCGUGCACCUUAACGGCGGAAGGCCCUCGGGCCGGAAGCCGCUUCACAAACCCUCUUAACUUGAGAAUGCUCUGCGACUGAUGUCGUCUAACAAACUGAA